GUCCCGGAGUCCCCGAGGCCGCCGCUUCCGCGACCCACGCAGCCACCACCACUGUCGCCGCUGCAACCGCUGCUUCGUCAGCUUCACCACCUGGCCAGGUGGUUCUGCGCCAGAGGCAUGGCUCCAGCACCGGCCCCACCUCCUCCGCGGACCCACGCCUGUCGCUGCUCCUGUUGGCUCUGCACACGCUCCUGGGCCGGCUGGUGGGGCACUGACAGCUUCCCCCCCAUCCCCCCCGCCCCCCCCGGCCUGCACGCCUCAGCGGGGCCACACCGCCCACCCAGACCCAGACCCGGGCGAGGACCGGGUCGCCGGAUGGACCCUGAGAGACCGAGAGAAGCAUGACCAAGUCCACGUGGAAACCAAAUCAUGUGGGGGAGUUACACAGUGUAGAAACCGAAACCACGCACCCAGUUUCCAAACGAGAUGGGGCGGGCCCGUGCUCCCGGCCCAUGAGUCUCUACUUCUGCGAACUUUUCUUUUCUCCGCUUCGCCUCCAGCUCUUCAUUUUGCACAAACUGCCGAGCCGUUAUCUUAGGAGACGGCGUGAAAAUGUUGGGCCACAGCCUUCCUGACAAAGGAACGUAUUUUUAGUAGAUGAUUGUGUUUAGGAGUUUUUGUUUUUUUUUUAAUUUCUCAUUUUCCGUUGGGGGCUUAUCUUUUUUUUAUGAAAGUAAAUUAUUUCUUUUUGAGACAUUUGGAUUAAAAAAGAUACAUCUUAUCAUAAUUAAAUUCACUGUCAAUAAUAUUUAUUUUUAAAUAAACACGGGAAACAAGGUCAGA